UGCAGUCGAACGAUAUUAGAGGUGCUUGCACCUCAAGAAAGUGGCGCACGGGUGCGUAACGCGUAUGCAACCUACCUUAAUCAGGGGGAUAGCCCGAAGAAAUUCGGAUUAAGACCGCAUAAAAACACAGGGUAGCAUUAUCCAAUGUUCAAAUAUUUAUAGGAUUAAGAUGGGCAUGCGUGUCAUUAGCUAGUUGGCGGGGUAACGGCCCACCAAGGCGACGAUGACUAGGGGAUCUGAGAGGAUGGCCCCCCACACUGGUACUGAGACACGGACCAGACUCCUACGGGAGGCAGCAGUAAGGAAUAUUGGUCAAUGGAGGGAACUCUGAACCAGCCAUGCCGCGUGCAGGAAGACAGCCCUCUGGGUCGUAAACUGCUUUUAUUCGGGAAUAAACCACAUUACGUGUAAUGUGCUGAAUGUACCGAAGGAAUAAGGAUCGGCUAACUCCGUGCCAGCAGCCGCGGUAAUACGGAGGAUCCAAGCGUUAUCCGGAUUUAUUGGGUUUAAAGGGUGCGUAGGCGGCUUAUUAAGUCAGGGGUGAAAGACGGUGGCUCAACCAUCGCAGUGCCCUUGAUACUGAUGAGCUUGAAUGGACUAGAGGUAGGCGGAAUGUGACAAGUAGCGGUGAAAUGCAUAGAUAUGUCACAGAACACCGAUUGCGAAGGCAGCUUACUAUGGUUUUAUUGACGCUGAGGCACGAAAGCGUGGGGAUCAAACAGGAUUAGAUACCCUGGUAGUCCACGCCCUAAACGAUGAAUACUCGCUGUUAGCGAUAUACAGUUAGCGGCUAAGCGAAAGCGUUAAGUAUUCCACCUGGGGAGUACGCCCGCAAGGGUGAAACUCAAAGGAAUUGACGGGGGCCCGCACAAGCGGAGGAGCAUGUGGUUUAAUUCGAUGAUACGCGAGGAACCUUACCCGGGCUUGAAAGUUAGUGAAUUAGAUAGAGAUAUUUAAGUGAGCAAUCACACGAAACUAGGUGCUGCAUGGCUGUCGUCAGCUCGUGCCGUGAGGUGUUGGGUUAAGUCCCGCAACGAGCGCAACCCCUAUGUUUAGUUGCCAUCACGUUAAGGUGGGGACUCUAAACAGACUGCCUGUGCAAACAGAGAGGAAGGAGGGGACGACGUCAAGUCAUCAUGGCCCUUACGUCCGGGGCUACACACGUGCUACAAUGGACGGUACAGAGGGCAGCAAUCUGGCAACAGCAAGCAAAUCUCAAAAAGCCGUUCACAGUUCGGAUAGAGGUCUGCAACUCGACCUCUUGAAGUUGGAUUCGCUAGUAAUCGCGUAUCAGCAAUGACGCGGUGAAUACGUUCCCGGGCCUUGUACACACCGCCCGUCAAGCCAUGGAAGUUGGGGGUACCUAAAGUAUGUAACCGUAAGGA
rnacentral:rRNA from 1 species